rfam:Dipodomys ordii contig_77999, whole genome shotgun sequence.
GGGAUGGUAGCUCAGCGGUAGUGUGCAUGCCUUGCAAGCAUGAGGCCCUGGGUUCGAAUCCUCAGCACCA